rnacentral:rRNA from 1 species
AGUGAACGCUGGCGGUAGGCCUAACACAUGCAAGUCGAACGGCAGCACAGUAAGAGCUUGCUCUUACGGGUGGCGAGUGGCGGACGGGUGAGGAAUACAUCGAAAUCUACUUUUUCGUGGGGGAUAACGUAGGGAAACUUACGCUAAUACCGCAUACGACCUACGGGUGAAAGCAGGGGAUCUUCGGACCUUGCGCGAUUGAAUGAGCCGAUGUCGGAUUAGCUAGUUGGCGGGGUAAAGGCCCACCAAGGCGACGAUCCGUAGCUGGCCUGAGAGGAUGAUCAGCCACACUGGAACUGAGACACGGUCCAGACUCCUACGGGAGGCAGCAGUGGGGAAUAUUGGACAAUGGGCGCAAGCCUGAUCCAGCCAUACCGCGUGGGUGAAGAAGGCCUUCGGGUUGUAAAGCCCUUUUGUUGGGAAAGAAAAGCAGCAGGUUAAUACCCCGCUGUUCUGACGGUACCCAAAGAAUAAGCACCGGCUAACUUCGUG